UUAUCAACAGCAACCUGAAAUUUGCAGAGG
rnacentral:piRNA from 1 species